AUGGGCUCAGCAGAUAGAACAGUGACUCACCUUCUCUGUCUGAAAUUAGGAAACUGGAAACAUGGCAAGAACUUCUCAAGGGUAAUCGUUUUUCCUGACUGGUAUCUUAAGCUUGUCAAGUUCUUAGCCAGAGCUUUCCAAGGCGGGUUUGGAGGAAGCAUAUGGUGUUCGCCCGGUCCAUAUGACUGGCUGAGCGUCGACCACUACUGUUGAUACAAUAUCUCACUUUUUCCUCAAUAUUAUGACAGCAUUUGUCAAUGAAAAUUAAAUUACUGUCAAACUUAUCCUGCUAACUUACGGCACAACCGUUGGAGAAAGCCAGCGCCGCGCCUUAAGCCAAGGGGACCUUGUCUUUAUGCUCAACCAAGAGGCGAGCGAGAAAGACAUGGGGACUUCUGUGCCAGCAGGGAUGGCUUGCCAAGCAGCAUCAGGAUGCAACAGCAACCACCUUCCCUUAGCCCAGGGCACUGGGAAGGGAGUCUGACGGAGGUGGGGCAAGGGGGAGUCACUUCAGGGGAUCUUGUCAAGACAAGCAAUGUUUUCUAAGGGAAAUAGCACACAUGUUACACGUAUGUGCUGGUUAAAAGGGGGAAGAAAAGAUUAUAUGUUUGAAAUCAAAGAUCUCUGGGGGUGUGUUUAAAAUCUCACAUAAAUACACUGGAGCCAUCACAUGGAAACACUUAAAAGCUGGAUUCGGUCAGAAACUACUUUCAGCUUCUUCUAUACCUUUGAACCACCUUAUCUCUCAUACUUUCCAGAAUCCAAGAUUGGGGAUGUGGCUGUUUAUAUUUUCCCCUCUAAGGAAACAGAUGCAUUGUGAAAUUAUGAGUUGCAAAACUCUCACCAUUAAAAUUGUUUUCUUCUCCAAUCGCCCCUCCUGGAAAGUCUCUGAAAGCAAAUGGGUAGCUAGCUGAAUACCAGCAGAUAGCUACAUCAAGGGCUACCUGGGAAUUUAGGAAUUUGCACCCCCCUUCCUGAUCUGUCCCCAUCCCUCA
rnacentral:lncRNA from 1 species